rnacentral:misc_RNA from 1 species
GAUGAAGAACGCAGCGAAAUGCGAUAAGUAAUGUGAAUUGCAGAAUUCAGUGAAUCAUCGAAUCUUUGAACGCACAUUGCGCCCCUUGGUAUUCCGAGGGGCAUGCCUGUUCGAGCGUCAUUACACCACUCAAGCUAUGCUUGGUAUUGGGCGUCGUCCUUAGUUGGGCGCGCCUUAAAGACCUCGGCGAGGCCACUCCGGCUUUAGGCGUAGUAGAAUUUAUUCGAACGUCUGUCAAAGGAGAGGAACUCUGCCGACUGAAACCUUUAUUUUUCUAGGUUGACCUCGGAUCAGGUAGGGAUACCAGCUGAACUUAAGCAUAUCAAUAAGCGGAGGA